GGUCUUCCCAGAGACCCUACAAGUCACACUUGCACCGGGACGUUUCCUCCCCAGCACAGUCCAUUUUCUCCCCGUGGCGUGUCCCGCGCGCAGCCGGUGCACCAGGUGCACCUAGGUCCCGGGACCCCGGACCCGCUCCCCCUCUCCCCCGCCGGGACCCCGCGCUCCGCUGCCCUGCGCCGGAAGCCACUGCACCGCCCCUUCCCCGCGCCGCUGGCCUUAUCUCUGCGCACAGGGCCCUCCGGGGAGUGGCGGGCGCCGGGAGGGAGCGGGCGGCAUGGGCCGGGGGCCCCGGGGCACGCGCCGCUCGCCAGGCCGCCGGGUGCUGCCCCUGCUGCGGCUGGUGCUGCUGCUCGGCCUGGCCUGCGGCGUCAGCGGAGAACCGGGCACGGACGAUUUGGAUGUCUGUGCCACUUGCCACGAACAUGCCACGUGCCAGCAAAAAGACGGGAAGAGGAUCUGCAUUUGCAACUACGGGUUCUGGGGCAACGGGAGGACGCGGUGUGUUGAUAAAGAUGAGUGCCAGUUUGGAGCCACUGUGAUCUGUGGGAACCACACAUCCUGCCACAACACCCCUGGAGGGUUCUACUGCGUUUGCCACAAAGGCUACCGAGCUACAAACAACAACAAGACAUUCAUUCCCAACGAUGGCACCUUCUGUACAGACAUCGAUGAGUGUGACGUUCCUGGCCUGUGUAGGCAUGGAGGUCAGUGUAUCAAUACUCCUGGGAGCUUUGAAUGCUACUGCAUGGAAGGAUACUUGGCAAAGAACGGCCCUGAGCCUUUCCACCCAGGCACGGACGGCACAUUAUGCACAGAAAUAGACUGUGGCACCCCUCCUGAAGUCCCUGGUGGCUACAUCACAGGAAAUUACAGCUCCACGCUGGGUGGCCAGGUCCAUUACAGCUGCAAGGAAGGGUUUCUCAGGGUCUCAGGAGAUACAGUUUCACGAUGCACAGCCCUGGGCAUGUGGGAAUCUCCGAAGUUACAUUGCCAAGAGAUCAGUUGUGGCAGCCCUCUUGAAGUCCAGAAUGCCAUCUUGGUGGGCAAUCACACCUCCAACCUGGGCAGUGUGGCUCACUAUGUCUGUCAGGAGGGCUUUGAGAGUUCCGGAGGAACGAUCACUUCUGUUUGCACGGAGAAAGGCUCCUGGAGUGACGUCACUCAUACGUGCACAGAAGUAAUGAUAGAAAUUCAUAACGUGUCUCUGUUUAAUGACACCUGUGUGAGGUGGCAAAUAAGCCCAGAGGGCAUAAACUCCAAGAUCGUGUACGUGAUACACAUCGAAAGACAGCAGCCACAUGCUGUGGAAUCCGUUCAUGAGGAGACAGUCAAUGUGACCACAGACAGCAGGACCCCAGAAGUGUGCCUCCACUUCCAACAAGGUGCCAAUUACACCAUGAGCAUUUCGGCAGCUCCUCCCCGGCACUCUGUGCCCACCAUCUUUGGUUUCCAGAUGGCUGAAGAUGAUCUCUUAGAAGAUGGCGGAAUUCUCAAUAUUUCAGUAUUUAAUGAAACUUGUUUGAAGUUGAACAGCCAUUCUAGGAAAGAUGGAUCAGAACAAAUGUACCAAGUCAAAGUUCUGGGUCAGAGGUGGUAUCUGGAAAACUUUUAUCACGCCACUUUGUUUAACUUCACCACAAGAGACCGAGCUCCGGAAGUGUGUUUAGAUCUGUACCCAGCCACUGAUUACACAGUAAACAUCACCCUCCUGCGAACCACUGAGCUGCGCUCGGCACAAAUAACCAUAACAACCGCACUAACAGCAAAACAGACCAUCACUAAUAUUUCAAUAUAUAAUGAAACCUGCCUGAGAUGGACAAGCCUGAAGUCAGCCAGUGUAGAAGAGAUGUAUUUAUUCCACAUUUGGGGCCAGAGAUGGUAUCAGAAGGCAUUUGUUCUGGAAAUAGUCUUUAAUACCACCAGCAGCAGCCAGGCCCCUGAGAUAUGCCUGGACCUGCAUCCAGGUACCAACUACAAUGUCAGCCUGCAGGCUCUGUCUUCAGCCCUUCCUGUGGUCAUCCACCUGACAACCCAGAUAGCAGAGCCCCCGCUUCCAGAGGUCGAAUUUUUCACUGUGCAAGGAAGGCCUCUACCACACUUCAGGCUGAGGAAAGCGGAGGAGAUAAAUGGACCUAUCAGUUCCUAUCAGCUGUUGGCCCUCCCCCUGUCCUUGGGGAGCACGUUCUUUUGUGGUUCUGAAGGCAUGACUUCAUUCUUUGGCAACACCUCUCAUGCUGAUGGAUAUGUAGCUGCAGAAAUCCUGGCCAGUGAUGUUCCCGAUGACACAUUGGAGAUACCUAUUGGAGACAGGCUGUACUAUGGGGAAUACUACAAUGCACCUUUGAAACCGGGACAUGAUUACUGCAUUCUGUUACGGAUCACAAGUGAAUGGAAUAAGGUGAGAAGAUAUUCCUGUGCCGUCUGGGCUGAGGUGAAAGCUAUUCUCCCCAACUGCAGAGCAGCUGGCAAUGAUCUUUUUCUACGAGGUUUCAAACACUUGGAGAGAAUACUGAAAACAAAACCUGGAUCAUUGCUUGGCAUGCUUCAGAUGCUCACCACAGGGCAUUGAAUAAGGCAGAUUCGUCCCUCACACCGCAGCAGAUGGUGGGGGUUGGACUGGGCUCGGUGGCUUUUGUGACCAUUCUCACAUUCCUGUCCUUCUCAGCAGUAUGAUGGCUGGUGAGCACUGCAUGGGAAGACUGCCUCGAUGAGGAACAGUUGUUCCUACAGCUUCUCAGGUGCCUGGACUGUGGGGCUCCCAUCUAGAGCCCUGAAACUUUCUCCAUCCCAGCAUGGCCUCAUUCCUGAAUUCAAGAUGGCAGCCAUCUCUGUGGAAUCUCCCAAAAGGAGACAACUUGGGAACUGUUUAUGUACUUCCUGCUUUCAGGAUCAGUGUGUGUCGGUGAACUUGAGACUCAUGCCCAGUGUAAUACUGACCACAGCCUCAGGCUACAUUCCUGAGCGUCAGCUCCUAUAGACAUCAGACGUACACAGGCCACAGCCCUGAGAGUCAGCUUCCAUACUGACCACAGGCCACAGAGCCUGAGAGUCAGUUCCUGUAGACACCGGAUGUAAUCUUCCAGGUCUUCCUUUAGGUACCCCUGCUAAUUAGUUCAGGAUCCAUUCUUUCACAGUAGGUAAUGAGAUGGGCUUAAGUCUGGGCUAGAAUUUGGCUUUCUGAAAGAGGUCAUUGGAUAAAGGACACUGACAUGAAUAAAUGUUACAAGCAUUUUAGAAGUAGCCCUUGUCUACAGUUAACUGAUAAACUAAUUAGAAGCUACAGUAGCUUGGCCACUCUCUCGGGUUCCCUGCAUGACUGUUGGGCAGUAUUGCUUUGAUACAAUUCUAGGUGGUUAUGUGAGAUCAAAAGUAAUGUUCGCUUUCCAGUAAAAUACAUUUUGUAAUAUUGACCGUU